rnacentral:rRNA from 1 species
UACGUAGGGGGCAAGCGUUGUCCGGAUUUACUGGGCGUAAAGAGCGCGCAGGCGGUCGUUCAAGUCGCGUGUGAAAGCCCCCGGCUCAACUGGGGAGGGUCACGCGAUACUGAUCGACUCGAAGGCAGGAGAGGGAAGUGGAAUUCCCGGUGUAGUGGUGAAAUGCGUAGAUAUCGGGAGGAACACCAGUGGCGAAGGCGACUUCCUGGCCUGUUCUUGACGCUGAGGCACGAAGGCCAGGGGAGCAAACGGGG